CUCUAAUUUUCUCGGGCCACUGUCGCUGCGUCGGAUCAGUUUCAGUAAGUACCGGAACGCAGAAAAAAGUGGCGGAACCCAAAAGACGAAAAUCGUCUGCGUUCCGGCCCACUUCAAGCACUGAGGCCAGUGGUAUGGUCCAUCUGACCCUCAUUCUGCAAACAGUUGUGGCAAGCCUGUCAUAGAAAGCACAGGACAUUAGGAAGGGAUAGGAUGCCAGUCCAUGACAGGUCUCGGUCUCUCUGUGUGUGUGUCUCUCUCUCUCUCGUUAAUUUAGAGACACCAAUUCACCUUCUUUUCAUACUUUUAGACUGUGAGAGACAACCACAGUAUCCAAAGGAAACAAAAGUUUCAUUCAUUACCAAAGGAUAUUUUCAGCCAAGUACAAAAUGCUAGAUUGAAUUGAAUGGAUAGUUAUGAAUGAAACAAUCUGUCACAUCUAAGGGGAGGUAAAUUUACAACUGAUAGUUAAUAAGGAACAACCGGUCAGCAGUCUUGGUCAUGUAUACUUCCCUAUAUCACCACACUGGCACACAGGUCAGCAGUCUAGGUCAUGUAUCCUUCCCUAUACCACCACACUGGCACACAGGUCAGCAGUCUAGGUCAUGUAUCCUUCCCUAUACCACCACACUGGCACACAGGUCAGCAGUCUAGGUCAUGUAUCCUUCUCUAUACCACCACACUGGCACAUAGCUCUGUAGUUUCCAUCAGUGAAACAGAGAAACAUCAGAGUGAAACACUGAAACUUCAAUAAGCUUUUCUACACUAGAGAUGAGGGCUGUGCAGUUCAAGGUCCUUAAGGUCAGAGCCCUGCUGAUUCUCCAGCCUUCCUCUGCCUUUGAGCCAGGUGUGAAGCCUUUGGCCAAUCAGAAUCAAUAAUGAUUAAACUAGCUAUCUGGGAAAACUGAAAACAAGACCUGGAUUUGGAAUCGAGGACCAGAGCUGAACAGCCCUUUAUAGACUAGACCGUGUCUCUCUGCAGCAUCACAGAUGCAAAGGUCUUGACCUCAACAUGACUGGAAGGAUGAAAUUAUAUUUAAAAAAUAGCAGGAUACCUUUCUGGAAACAAUCACACUUACUAUACAUUAAAAACUUUAGAGUAAAAACACAUGAUUUCAGUAGGACUCGUUUUAUUUGUAGUUGCCUUCACUGUUAAGUAGAGAUGGGCGAUACAGUGAUACGGAAUAAACUCACAACUACGAGUUACAGACACCCAGCAUCACUGGCCACCCUGCCGGGACGGAAGCACUCUUUCCAAAGACAGGCAAACUUAAUGGCUAACGAUUAGCGUUAGUCGUCUAACCGAAUGCCUGCUUGUGUGGAGCGGCUCCCGUAAAGCCCCCUACUGGGUAAUUAUCCAAUUUAAAUAAUUUAAACAGAGGUGCCCCUCCUUAUGUCACAUGGUUUUCAGCUGUUCAGCGUGGGGCAGAAGGUCUCGUUCAGAGAAUCUGUUUUUGGGUAAAAAUCGUUGGGUCUGUUUCGUUUGCUUAAGUAAUAAAUAAAAUUGAACUUUUAGUCUAAA